GACGAACGCUGGCGGCGUGCUUAACACAUGCAAGUCGAGCGGUAAGGCCCUUUCGGGGGUACGACGAGCGGCGAACGGGUGAGUAACACGUGGGUGACCUGCCCUCAGCUUUGGGAUAAGCCCGGGAAACUGGGUCUAAUACUGGAUAUGACUCCACGGUGCAUGCCGUGGGGUGGAAAGCCUUGUGCGGCUGAGGAUGGGCCCGCGGCCUAUCAGCUUGUUGGUGGGGUGAUGGCCACCAAGGCGACGACGGGUAGCCGGCCUGAGAGGGCGACCGGCCACACUGGGACUGAGACACGGCCCAGACUCCUACGGGAGGGCAGCAGUGGGGAAUCUUGCGCAAUGGGCGAAAGCCUGACGCAGCGACGCCGCGUGAGGGAUGACGGCCUC
rnacentral:rRNA from 1 species